UUUGUUAAAAACCUGGUCUUGUACUUCUCACCAAUUGAAAUCAUCCCUAGGUAAGAAAGAAGCUCUAGAAGCCAGGAUGUGAUUUUGUGUCCUAUUGAAAGGAAGGAGGAACAGCAAGGAGGAAUGUUUGGUGAUCAGGCUUUGGAGACCCCUCCAUCCUCGUGGCUUCUACUCCUGGCAUUUUUAUUGCAAUCCCGUGGAGAUCCCUGUUUGGAGCCAGCAUCCUGCAGCUUCUGGUUGCUGCAUGCCACAGUUCAGAGGCCUCACCUUCCUCUCCAAACAUACCCACCAGUCAGAAAGUCAGAGGUGUUCUAAGGAUUGAAACUAGUGGGUGUGAUUUGUGAUGGCUUUCCACCAAAAUACUUUGUGCAGAGAGGUGAACGUGGGCUGAAGAAGAAACAGAGCACUGCAAAAAGAUGUCCGAAGCUGUUUGUACCUUGGUGUUCAGGAGCUUGUGAGGGAAGGUGAGAGCUGAUUAACCUUUUUAUUUCAUUUUUAAUAUUAAAUGCUAUCUUGUGGUGCUGCAGAUACUGUUCUGAAACAUCCAAAUUCCAGAUCUUUGUUUAAAACUUGCCUGCGUGCUUUAUCUCCUUAGCAGCUGAUGACUCUCGAUAGGUUACAGAAAUCAUCUGCUAUGAUGAUGCUCAGCCUGUGCCUCUAAUGCCUCCAGUGUGUCUCACACAACCUGGCAGUAGUGUCCUCACAUCUGCUGCUAGCGAGGCAAGCCGAGCUGAUCGCACAGGCUGCAGGGAAGAGCAAUGCCAAGCUGAGGAGUCACGCUCGCCUCCUUCUGCUUCAGCCAAGAAGGAAGAAUAACACGCUCAUUCCCUUCAGGCAGCUGGAAACAACAAGAAACCACAGAGGACCACAAAAUCAUCACAGAGCAACAUCUGCCAAGGCUAUAUGCUGCCUCUAGCAGGUCAGGACACAAGCAGAUGAAGAUAACGCUGUGUGGCAGCUUCCUGUCAGUUGUUCUGUGGUUUGCUUUCACAUGCGAGGAAUUAGAUGGAAGCCAAUGCAUGAUCAGUGCUGACAGAAGAAUAUUUUAAAAGGCAAACAAACCCACAGAGCAUCACACGGACAUGCCUCUUCUCACGCUGUUCCCACCCCUCAUACUGCUCUUUCUCUAUCAGAGAGGCGUGGGAGCCUGGGAGCGACCUUUAUGCAGAUGAGGCAGCUAUUUCCAUCAAGCAAAGCUUCGUAAUACAGAGAGAGCUUGGGAAAUGUUUUCUUAGGUUAUGAUCUUUGAGGGCCUUUAUUUCUAUUUAGAGUCUUACUUUUGAAUAUCUAAAUAUAUUCCGGAAUUUUUAUUUUUCUUUGGAGAUUUCUCAGUUUAAAAUAUGCCUUCAGCCUGGUCCUAGCAAUAAAUAGGCCAACUUAGCUCUGGUGGAGAAAAAGCACAUUUUGCAAGUCCAUACCCAUUGCAGGUAUGAGGUUGUUUCUCUUGGAGCGGUCUAUAAACCAAGUUCUGGACAAAACUUUCUAAGAGCUGGGAGAUCAUGUAUUUCUGUAGCUUACAAAACUGGCAAAGAUAAAUGUGAGGAUUAUUCAUUUCACGAAAGGAUAAACAUGGAAGUAGUAUUAACAUGUUUAACUUCUUGCAGGCAGUUUUUGCCUCCUGUAUCCAUGACUGCCUACUGAGGAAAGAAGUAGAAGGAAAUAGGGGAAGCUGACCACUGUUCUCAUAGCAGCCUUGGCACAAGCCAACAGCAAAAAAAUCAGCAUAAACACCUGUCUUCAGUCUCUGGCCCACAGCUAUGUCUGAACUAGCCCUGCAGGCUUGUGUUCAUCUGUCUGAACUAGCAGC
rnacentral:lncRNA from 1 species